AACUUGGUCAGGUGACGUCACAGAGGAUCAAGCGGACCAUGGCGCGAAAGAAGAUUGAAGAAAAGUCCUCAAAUGAAGCUUCCAAAGAAAAGCGCAAGAUGAAAAACAAAGACGAAUACGCCGAUAAAUAAGGAUAGACGGUUUGAGGUUUGAUUAUUAUAAGUAUGAGUUGUGUGUUGUAUGUGUGUCUUGUCUGUGUUGCUGUACUUUAUUCUACUGGGCCUAAUGUUGCCAGCUAUUUUUAGUCAGUCACUACUAUAGUGCAUUUUGCAUGUCUAUGAAAUAUAUGCAAUGAAACUAUGGCGAACAUCUUGCUGGAUCGGAUUUUGUUGUUUACACUCUGUUGUGUACUUCGUCUACAAAGAUCGAAUCCUUCAACGAUUCUGUAUUGUCCUAAUCGCUUGGUGAGAACGCUAUGUUGGUACACAAAUACUCGAGUAAUAUCAACACGCAGUAUAAUAUGCGCACAAGUAAAAUAAACUUGCAUUUCCCGUCUAUAAUCUUACAAAUAAUGCUGUAAAAUAAAACUUUCCACCACAAUAAAUAUACAACCAUAAAUUCAUAUUUAAACGUCAUGUAGCGUGAUUGGGACGAUGGCCACGUCACAAUUACGCUACGACGUCGAUACGGUGGGUCAGAGCAUUGUCAUGACCCCGCGUUUGGUGCGGAUAUGUCACUUUUGAUUGAGUUACAUCACGGUCAGGUUGUUGCGUGGACGCCGCCGCUAGUGAUGCUACGCUAUAGAUAUUUAGGUCACUGCCAAUGCGGUUCGUAACAACCGGCCAUAGUUUUGUAACGGUCAAUGCGGUGCGUAACAUCCGGACGAUAUUUAUAUCGUGUGGAGAUACGACGAGAGUAUCGCGGUACCGAUAUGGCGGCUUACCUUUUGAUUAAGACAUGCGGAACUGUUGUUGGCUUCGAUUCCUUGGGGUCGGACAUUCAAUAUGGUGUACACUGCAGAUGAUUAUCUUUCAGGAUUUGAACCAUAUUUUCUUUGUCAAUAUUUCUAAGAUUAUGUCCGCGUGUAAUACUUUUAGACCAUGUCCUUUUUCUGAUAUGACUGAGCUGUUGUGUUUAUUGCAUGUUUGGCACAUGUAUGUCGCUGCACUCGUUCUACUAUUUUUGUCUUUAUUUUGGUG